GAACGAACGCUGGCGGCAGGCUUAACACAUGCAAGUCGAACGCUCGUGGCAACACGGGAGUGGCAGACGGGUGAGUAACGCGUGGGAACCUACCCUUUUCUACGGAAUAACUGAGGGAAACUUCAGCUAAUACCGUAUACGCCCUACGGGGGAAAGAUUUAUCGGAGAAGGAUGGGCCCGCGUCUGAUUAGCUAGUUGGUGAGGUAACGGCUCACCAAGGCGACGAUCAGUAGCUGGUCUGAGAGGAUGAUCAGCCACAUUGGGACUGAGACACGGCCCAAACUCCUACGGGAGGCAGCAGUGGGGAAUAUUGGACAAUGGGGGCAACCCUGAUCCAGCCAUGCCGCGUGAGUGAUGAAGGCCUUAGGGUUGUAAAGCUCUUUCGUCAGGGAAGAUAAUGACGGUACCUGAAGAAGAAGCCCCGGCUAACUUCGUGCCAGCAGCCGCGGUAAUACGAAGGGGGCUAGCGUUGUUCGGAAUUACUGGGCGUAAAGCGCACGUAGGCGGACAUUUAAGUCAGGGGUGAAAUCCCAGGGCUCAACCCUGGAACUGCCUUUGAUACUGGGUGUCUUGAGUACGAGAGAGGUGAGUGGA
rnacentral:rRNA from 1 species